rnacentral:rRNA from 1 species
AUCACAUGGCGUGGCGAGCCUCAAAACCGUCACGAAGCGUGAACUCUUGGUGAAAUGGAGCACUUUCGUGUCCGCUGGUUAACAUCAAUUUCGAACGUCAUAAAAAGGCUGGAGGGAUGUGGCUCCUUCGGGAGUGUUAUAGACCUGGGCAGAUGCGCUGCGCGGGACUGAGGAUUGCAGCGGACACCCCCUCGGGGGCGCGGCGACCGAACCCUGCUCGGCCACCCUCGUUCGAUAGCGUGCUAGCGGACGCGGGAGCGGCAGUGCACCGGAACAGGCAAGCCAGCGG